rnacentral:tRNA from 1 species
GGUCUGGUAGCUCAGGUGCGAAAGCAGAGGAUUGAAAAUCCUUGUGUCGGUGCUUCGAUUCCGCCCCGGGCCACCA